AGCUUUGUGUAGUGGCAGUAUCAGAGCCAAUGAGGUUUAUCUGAGGCUGAUCGUUGSGAAUUGAAAACGUUCCCAAUACCCGGCCUUAACGACCUGCAAUAUGAUCAGCAUUGACAAUUUUUGACAGUCUCUAUAGAGA
ensembl:snRNA U4 U4 spliceosomal RNA